rfam:Sclerotinia sclerotiorum 1980 scaffold_16 genomic scaffold, whole genome shotgun sequence.
GAGGAUGUGGUCCAGUGGUCAAGAAACAUGCUUCAAAGUGUGCUGUGGCAAGGAUGCUUCGCCAGACCUUUACCAAGGUCGGAAAAGAGGUAAUACCUACCACAGCUACCGUGAGUGCAUGGAACGAUAGUUCGAUUCUAUCCAUCUUCA